UCUGUGAAAUACUCUAAACUAUAAGCAUGCAUAGUGGCGGGAAGCCAAGAACGAGCCUUUCCCCUGCUAGAAAUCCGAUAAUGAAGCUUAUCAAUCCGGUGGAUCCACCCACACAACCUGUCCCCCAUCAUUGAAAUCGGCGCUUCUUCUACCCAAAAGAAUUGGAACCCAGAUCAAAAUUUGCUUUGACAAACGAAUAAAAGGAGGAGACCAGUGAACCUCGUAUGAUUUUUGUUGGGGUUGUAAUUUGUCACAUUUGCUUGUAUAAGUUUCUGAUAGCAAUAGGAGGAAUUGUAUCUGCUUUUGACUGUGUGCAUUCUCGGUUGUCUCCUUGAUGAUUCCUUGGAAUACAGUCGGCUUCACCUGCACUAACAAUGGUGCGAAUUCCAGUUGUUACGAUUGUAUCAAAUCAGAAGCCCAUACAAUGUUAUUAAUGCUUGGAGAUUGAAUUUUGUAA